rnacentral:misc_RNA from 1 species
UUUCCGUAGGUGAACCUGCGGAAGGAUCAUUAAAGAGACGUUGCCCUUCGGGGUCGACCUCCCACCCUAUGUUUAUCAUACCUCUGUUGCUUUGGCAGGCCCGUCCUCGGACCACCGGCUCCGGCCGGUCCGUGCCUGCCAGGGGACCUAAAACUCUGUUUGUUAAUGCAGUCUGAGUACUAUGUAAUAGUUAAAACUUUCAACAACGGAUCUCUUGGUUCUG